rnacentral:rRNA from 1 species
GACGAACGCUGGCGGCGUGCUUAACACAUGCAAGUCGAACGGAAAGGCCCUGCUUGCAGGGUACUCGAGUGGCGAACGGGUGUGUAACACGUGGGUGAUCUGCCCUGCACUUCGGGAUAAGCCUGGGAAACUGGGUCUAAUACCGGAUAGGAGCCAUUUUUAGUGUGAUGGUUGGAAAGUUUUUUCGGUGUAGGAUGAGCUCGCGGCCUAUCAGCUUGUUGGUGGGGUAAUGGCCUACCAAGGCGGCGACGGGUAGCCGGCCUGAGAGGGUGGACGGCCACAUUGGGACUGAGAUACGGCCCAGACUCCUACGGGAGGCAGCAGUGGGGAAUAUUGCACAAUGGGCGCAAGCCUGAUGCAGCGACGCCGCGUGGGGGAUGACGGCCUUCGGGUUGUAAACUCCUUUCGCUAGGGACGAAGCUUUUUGUGACGGUACCUAGAUAAGAAGCACCGGCUAACUACGUG